GAUAUUGAACCUGAAAUGAUGAUGCAAAAACACGUUAAAUAAAGCUAAGAAAAUUAAUUAGUGAAGAGGGAGAAAAAUAGACAAGUCUUUGUUUGACAUCCCAAAACAAAAGUGAAAUAUUCUCGAUGGUUAUUUGCAAUUAAAGAACAAAUUCUUUUCUACAGAAAUCCAUUCUUUUCAAAGAUCCAGAAAAGCUAGCUGCCAAGAAGAUCUAAGCCUUUAAUGCACUGGAUGAAUUUUCUGAUUGUGCAGGCUACCAGUUCUGUAUGUACCUUAAAACGUGAUAUUGAACCU
rnacentral:lncRNA from 1 species